rnacentral:rRNA from 1 species
CACGUGAGAAUCUACCCUUAGGAGGAGCAUAACAACUGGAAACGGUUGCUAAAACUCCAUAACGUCGAGAGAUGAAAUAUUGUAAGCCCUGUACUUUCGCUCAUGGGUGUUAGUAAUAAUGGCAUUUAGCCUAAGGAUGAGCUUGCGCCUGAUUAGCUAGUUGGUAGAUUAAGAGCAAAACCAAGGCCACAAUCGGUAGCUGGUUUGAGAGAAUGAUCAGCCACACUGGGACUGAGGUACGGCCCAGACUCCUUCGGGAGGCAGCAGUGAGGAAUUUUCCGCAAUGAGCGAAAGCUUGAC